GCAGUCGUGGCCUAAUGGUUAGAGAGUCGGACUUGUAACUCAAAGGUCGUGGGUUCGAGUCUCAGGUCUGGA